UGAAGACAUCAAAGAAAAAACCUUCUCAAAUGUUUUUCCCUUAGAAAAAAAGAUUUUCUUUAUACCUGAAUCUCUCUUUUGAUCUCAAAUACAAACUCCAGACUUCCUUGCAAAUCCUUGGGUAAUUUUUAGCAGGUGGUUCAAUUCCAAGGUGGGAAUGUGGGCAUGAUAAAAAGAAAAAGAGAAGAGAAGAGUUGCAAUUAGUAAUGAGUCACCAGCAGAAGGAAACACAGACUUCCAGACACCCAUCCCCACCUUAGCCAGAUAUGGGUGUUGGCUUUUGCUCUGUUUCUAGCUGCUAGAAAUUCUCCCACUGGGUGAAAGAUGAAGGUCGACCUUUGAUCUACACCCAUGGAAGGAGAGGCUUUUCUUAAGGAUGAACAGAAGCAGCUACAAGCAGGAGCCUACCAAAAAGAGGAUGAUGCAGAUGAUUAUUUUUUUCCCCUUUUACAGGCCCUUCGGAAUCUAGAAGAUCCUCAAUUCACUAUUCUCUCCUUCGAGCAGAUGAGGGAAAAGAGAAGGAAUUAAGACUCCAGGGGACAUUGCCAGAAAGAGGGGAGGAUGAAAAUGAGAACUGCUGGGAAGGAAAUGAAUCACUGAGGCACAAUCAGGAAGACCAGAGGAGAGACAUAUCUCACAGAUAUCCGAGCAGCGUUGCCUCUGAAGACGAAACGGGAAAAACAACAAAGUGGAGCAUCAGUGCACUUCAACGCUCAGAGUAUCAACAAAAUAUCCCUCUGAGGAAAAGACCAGUGAAAUGUCCAACAUGUCACGCCGAAAUAAAUCUGUGUCACUGUUUGAAGGAUGGAGAAAGUUUCAGAUGGAGCCCAGAAGAUACAAGAUUUCACACAGGAGAGAAACACAAAUGCUUAAACUCUGACCUUAAAGCACCUCAACCAAUGCAUUCUGAAGGGAAAGGCUGUACGUGCAUAGAGUGUGGCAUGAGCUUCAAGAGACGUUCAGAACUUGAAAGCCAUCAAAGUAUAAACACAGGACAGAAAGCAUACAAAUGCCAUGAAUAUGGACAGGCCUUCAGACGCAAUUCACGUCUUCAAGUACAU